UUGACGGGGCCCGCACAAGCGGUGGAGCAUGUGGUUAAUUCGACGCAACGCGAAGAACCUUACCAGGGCUUGACAUCCCCUGACCGCGUAUGAAAGUACGUUUUCACCCUCGGGUGACAGGGAGACAGGUGGUGCAUGGUUGUCGUCAGCUCGUGUCGUGAGAUGUUGGGUUAAGUCCCGCAACGAGCGCAACCCCCUACGUUUAGUUGCUAACGCGUGAAGGCGAGCACUCUAGACGAACUGCCGUUGACAAAACGGAGGAAGGUGGGAUGACGUCAAAUCAUCAUGCCCCUUAUGUUCUGGGCUACACACGUGCUACAAUGGCCGGUACAGACGGACGCAAAGCCGCGAGGUGGAGCAAAUCCUAAAAAGCCGGUCUCAGUUCGGAUUGCAGGCUGCAAUUCGCCUGCAUGAAGUCGGAAUCGCUAGUAAUCGCAGGUCAGCAUACUGCGGUCGAAUACGUUCCCGGGCCUU
rnacentral:rRNA from 1 species